AUUUUUUAGGUAUAGUUCUCAAGUUAAACCUCUUUUCAGUCAUGUCUUUUAUUUUAUUAUGUCAAAUAGAACUUUAAUUUGUUUCUGGCAUAUUGUAUUUUUUAAGUCUUAUGAACUAGAAGUAUGAUAGCUGUCACUGCAAGAUUAGCUUCAAUUCACUUGUUGUCUUUUUUCCAUUCAUUCAGAAAUUUUUAACUUAUGUUUGAGUAUCAUUUUGCUUUCUUUCCCAGUACCUGAACCUGAUAAUUUUUUCCUGUCCACAUUCUUAGUUUUCCCAUAACCUGUUCUGAGGAUCUGAUCGGUCAACCAGGGGACUGAAGGGGGUCCUUUCCAAAAGGGCUGGGAGACAGACUGGACUUCAGAAGUUAGAAUCAGCAAUCGGCAUUAGUAUUUUCCAAGCACUGCCUUCAACUAGACUCUGGGUUACUUUCUCCAACUCAGCAAGAUAUCUUCAGCAAAUGUCACAUACUUGCAGAUUGGGAAAUUGGACUGGAAACCAAUUUGGGAAAUAUGAACUGGAACUUUUCUACAAAAGAAUUAGCCCUUGAUGUGACAGUGGAAAGCUAAGUAUUGCAGGAAGCGGGAAAACUGGAAGAUCAAGAUAAAUAAAUGGGCCAGGGAGGUCUACUGUGGUAAGCCAUGAGUGAACCACUGUGGAAAAAAAGCACAUAAAUAUAAUAAAUAGGG
rnacentral:lncRNA from 1 species